ensembl:snRNA Gm56024 U6 spliceosomal RNA
AAGAUCCCAGCAGCACACACACUAACACUGGAACAAUAUAGAGAUCAGCACGGCCCCUGUAGAAGGAUGACAAUGUAAAUUUGUUAAGUGUUCUGUAUUUAA